AGUGAACGCUGGCGGUAGGCCUAACACAUGCAAGUCGAACGGCAGCACAGUAAGAGCUUGCUCUUACGGGUGGCGAGUGGCGGACGGGUGAGGAAUACAUCGGAAUCUACUUUUUCGUGGGGGAUAAUGUAGGGAAACUUACGCUAAUACCGCAUACGACCUACGGGUGAAAGCAGGGGAUCUUCGGACCUUGCGCGAUUGAAUGAGCCGAUGUCGGAUUAGCUAGUUGGCGGGGUAAAGGCCCACCAAGGCGACGAUCCGUAGCUGGUCUGAGAGGAUGAUCAGCCACACUGGAACUGAGACACGGUCCAGACUCCUACGGGAGGCGGCAGUGGGGAAUAUUGGACAAAGGGCGCAAGCCUGAUCCAGCCAUACCGCGUGGGUGAAGAAGGCCUUCGGGUUGUAAAGCCCUUUUGUUGGGAAAGAAAAGCAGCAGGUUAAUACCCCGCUGCUCUGACGGUACCCAAAGAAUAAGCACCGGCUAACUUCGUG
rnacentral:rRNA from 1 species